CAGCAUGAUUCUAGCUUGCUAGAAUGACUGGCGACCGGCGCACGGGUGAGUAACGCGUGUCCAACCUGGGCCCUUAGUAGGGGAUAGCCCGGCGAAAGUCGGAUUAAUACCCUAUGUUCUCCGUUGAUGACAUCUGAGAUGGAGCAAAGACUUGUCGCUAAGGGAUGGGGAUGCGUCUGGACUUAGGUAGUCGGCGGGGUAACGGCCCACCGAGCCUUCGAUCAGUAGGGGUUCUGAGAGGAAGGUCCCCCACAUUGGAACUGAGACACGGUCCAAACUCCUACGGGAGGCAGCAGUGAGGAAUAUUGGUCAAUGGGCGAGAGCCUGAACCAGCCAAGUAAGCGUGCAGGAUGACGGCCCUAUGGGUUGUAAACUGCUUUUGGAGGGGAAUAAAGUCACCUACGCGUAGGUGUUUGUAUGUACCCUCAGAAUAAGGACCGGCUAAUUCCGUGCCAGCCGCGGC
rnacentral:rRNA from 1 species